CCUUGUAUCUCCCCGUAUCACUCACGUAUCCGAGUCGUAUCCGAUAUUUUUUUAUUUUUUAAAAAUACUGGAUACUUCAUUUUCGUAUCGGACAUGUAUCGGGCGCAUAUCGAUAUCCGAUACGUAUCCGAUACGGGUACGGUAUGAAAUUUGAAGUAUCUGUGCUUCAUAGGUGGAGAGGGUCUUCACUGACAUCAAAGCCGAUCUGAAGAGCGAUCGAGGU
rnacentral:lncRNA from 1 species